GAUGAACGCUGGCGGCGUGCUUAACACAUGCAAGUCGAACGGGAAACCUUUUAUUGAAGCUUCGGCAGAUUUAGCUGGUUUCUAGUGGCGGACGGGUGAGUAACGCGUGGGUAACCUGCCUUAUACAGGGGGAUAACAACCAGAAAUGGUUGCUAAUACCGCAUAAGCGCACAGGACCGCAUGGUCCGGCGUGAAAAACUCCGGUGGUAUAAGAUGGACCCGCGUUGGAUUAGCUAGUUGGCAGGGUAACGGCCUACCAAGGCGACGAUCCAUAGCCGGCCGGGGAGGGGGAACGGCCACAUUGGAACUGAGACACGGCCCAGACUCCGACGGGGGGCAGCAGUGGGGAAUAUUGCACGAUGGGGGAAACCCUGAUGCAGCGACGCCGCGUGAAGGAAGAAGUAUCUCGGUAUGUAAACUUCUAUCAGCAGGGAAGAUAGUGACGGUACCUGACUAAGAAGCCCCGGCUAACUACGUG
rnacentral:rRNA from 1 species